rnacentral:snRNA from 1 species
AGUGCUUCUUGGCCUUUUGGCUAAGAUCAGGUGUAGUAUCUGUUCUUAUCAGUUUAAAAGUAUGCAUUGGCAUUACCAGUAAAGAAGUCUUUAUAUGAAGGCCUUUAAUUCACCAAAUAUGAAGUCUUUAACUCAC